rnacentral:rRNA from 1 species
GUGAGGAAUAUUGCGCAAUGGAGGCAACUCUGACGCAGCCAUACCGCGUGCAGGAAGAAGGCGCUACGCGUUGUAAACUGCUUUUAACCGGGAAGAAACCCCAGGACGUGUCCUGGGUUGACGGUACCGGAGGAAUAAGCACCGGCUAACUUCGUGCCAGCAGCCGCGGUAAUACGAAGGGUGCAAGCGUUAUCCGGAUUCAUUGGGUUUAAAGGGUGCGUAGGCGGAGCGUUAAGUCAGUGGUGAAAUCCUGCAGCUUAACUGUAGACUUGCCAUUGAUACUGGCGCUCUUGAGUGCGCUUGAAGUGGGCGGAAUGUGCCGUGUAGCGGUGAAAUGCUUAGAUAUGGCACAGAACACCAAUUGCGAAGGCAGCUCACUAAGGCGAUACUGACGCUGAGGCACGAAAGCGUGGGGAUCGAACAGGAUUAGAUACCCGGGUAGUCC